rnacentral:tmRNA from 1 species
GGGGGCGAAACGGAUUCGACAGGGAUAUAUAAGCUCAGGCUGCAUACCGAGGUUUCUAUCUUUCUCGUAAAACAGGUAGAACAGUAAAUAUAGUUGCAGAUGACUAUGCAUAUGCUGUGGCAGCAUAAAUAAGCCUCCGUCCUGCCGGUUUAUUCCCGCGCAACUGGUAAGGACGUCGCCUAGUGGGAUAGUUCUCCGAAUGUACCUGCCUUCAGAGAGCGAAAUUUAGCAGGAUAGCGCCAAAAACCCCUUGUUCUGGAGAGGCCAAGGCGCGAUAAGCAAUCAAACAGAACUAAGUAUGUAGACGCUUGCAGGGGAGUAUUUCUGGACGCGGGUUCGACUCCCGCCGCCUCCACCA